AAGUGGCGAGGUGGCCAUUUAGAUAAUUAAAGAACUGUCUGUAAGGCGAGGUGGCCGAACAGACAAUAAAAGGCGAGGUGGCCUGUAUAGUGGCGAGGUGGCCAUUUAGAUACUUAAAGAACUGUCUGUAAGGCGAGGUGGCCGAACAGACAAUAAAAGGCGAGGUGGCCUUAUAAACUAUAUAGGGGCGAGGUGGCUAUUUCAUUAAUAUUGGGUCAGUUUAGUAAACAGCGUGGAGGCAAUUUAUUAUACAAAUUUUGACAUUCGUUGAGAUUGAGAAUUUAACGUUUAUCAGACUAUAUUGGAGUAGAAGAUGAUAAUGACCAUAUUCUAUUCGGUCAGGAGUGGCCGAACCAUGUUACCCAAAUUUGUUUCUCUCUUUACAGAUAAUGAUGUUGUUCGCCCUUCAACAUCACACGAGGACGUGUGAAGCGUCAGGACGGCCGUGUCGGAGGAAGUAGUAAGAAUGGAGUUGAUUGCUGGUUACAUGAAGACUAUAUCAAUAAGCUUAGAAAAUACUUUGUUAAAUAAUAAUUAUAAUUUGUUUAAUUUCUUAGAUUUUUGUAUUGUUUAAAUUUAACUUAGUUUAAAAGUAAUUUUUAUAAAGACUUUAUUAUUGCACAUUAUGUCAGAGCAGAGGGUAGGCCUCGAGCGGGGUCGAGGCGCCAUCUUAACGUUCAGUGGUGAGGGUAGAUAGAUAUACGGUGAUUGAUCGCGGUGGAUCAUUAUUAUAAAAUAGUUGUUGUUACGGUGUGG
rnacentral:misc_RNA from 1 species